rnacentral:rRNA from 1 species
AAAGCGUGCGCAGGCGGUUUUGUAAGUCAGAUGUGAAAUCCCCGAGCUCAACUUGGGAACUGCGUUUGAAACUACAAGGCUAGAGUAUGGUAGAGGGGGGUAGAAUUCCACGUGUAGCAGUGAAAUGCGUAGAGAUGUGGAGGAAUACCAAUGGCGAAGGCAGCCCCCUGGACUAAUACUGACGCUCAUGCACGAAAGCGUGGGGAGCAAACAGGAUUAGAUACCCCAGU